UCCUCUGUAGUUCAGUCGGUAGAACGGCGGACAGUUAAUCCGUAUGUCACUGGUUCGAGUCCAGUCAGAGGAGCCA
rnacentral:tRNA from 1 species